rnacentral:rRNA from 1 species
ACGCUCGACACCUACGGGAGGAGCAGUGGGGAAUAUUGCACAAUGGGGGAAACCCUGAUGCAGCGACGCCGCGUGAAGGAAGAAGUAUCUCGGUAUGUAAACUUCUAUCAGCAGGGAAGAAAAUGACGGUACCUGACUAAGAAGCCCCGGCUAACUACGUGCCAACAGCCGCGGUAAUCUGAGCGGGCGUGGCAAGGC